rnacentral:rRNA from 1 species
GACGAACGCUGGCGGCGUGCUUAACACAUGCAAGUCGAACGGAAAGGCCCUGCUUUUGUGGGGUGCUCGAGUGGCGAACGGGUGAGUAACACGUGAGUAACCUGCCCUUGACUUUGGGAUAACUUCAGGAAACUGGGGCUAAUACCGGAUAGGAGCUCCUGCUGCAUGGUGGGGGUUGGAAAGUUUCGGCGGUUGGGGAUGGACUCGCGGCUUAUCAGCUUGUUGGUGGGGUAGUGGCUUACCAAGGCUUUGACGGGUAGCCGGCCUGAGAGGGUGACCGGCCACAUGGGGACGGGGAUACGGCCCAGACUCCUACGGGAGGCAGCAGGGGGGAAUAUUGCACAAGGGGCGGAAGCCUGAUGCAGCAACGCCGCGUGCGGGAUGACGGCCUUCGGGUUGUAAACCGCUUUCGCCUGUGACGAAGCGUGAGUGACGGUAAUGGGUAAAGAAGCACCGGCUAACUACGU